ACCUGGGUGGCUCAGUCGGUUGAGCGCCUGACUUCAGCUCAGGUCAUGAUCUUGCAGUCUGUGAGUUCGAGCCCCACGUCGGGCU
rnacentral:tRNA from 1 species